GAGUUUGAUCCUGGCUCAGAUUGAACGCUGGCGGCAUGCCUUACACAUGCAAGUCGAACGGCAGCACGGGAGCUUGCUCCUGGUGGCGAGUGGCGAACGGGUGAGUAAUGCAUCGGAACGUAUCCUGGAGUGGGGGAUAACGUAGCGAAAGUUACGCUAAUACCGCAUAUUCUGUGAGCAGGAAAGCGGGGGACCUUCGGGCCUCGCGCUCUUGGAGCGGCCGAUGUCGGAUUAGCUAGUUGGUGAGGUAAAGGCUCACCAAGGCGACGAUCCGUAGCAGGUCUGAGAGGAUGAUCUGCCACACUGGAACUGAGACACGGUCCAGACUCCUACGGAGGCAGCAGUGGGAAUUU
rnacentral:rRNA from 1 species